rnacentral:rRNA from 1 species
UACGUAGGGCGCAAGCGUUGUCCGGAAUUAUUGGGCGUAAAGAGCUCGUAGGCGGCUUGUCACGUCGGGUGUGAAAGCCCGGGGCUUAACCCCCGGGUCUGCAUUCGAUACGGGCUAGCUAGAGUGUGGUAGGGGGAGAUCGGAAUUCCUGGUGUAGCGGUGAAAAUGCGUAGAUAUCAGGAGGAACACCGGUGGCGAAGGCGGAUCUCUGGGGCCAUUACUGACGCUGAGGAGCGAAAGCGUGGGGAGCGAACAGG